AAUAUAUCGGAACGUACCCAAGAGUGGGGGAUAACGUAGCGAAAGUUACGCUAAUACCGCAUACGAUCUAUGGAUGAAAGUGGGGGAUCGCAAGACCUCAUGCUCCUGGAGCGGCCGAUAUCUGAUUAGCUAGUUGGUGAGGUAAAGGCUCGCCAAGGCGACGAUCAGUAGCUGGUCUGAGAGGACGACCAGCCACACUGGGACUGAGACACGGCCCAG
rnacentral:rRNA from 1 species